rnacentral:rRNA from 1 species
AUUGAACGCUGGCGGCAGGCCUAACACAUGCAAGUCGAGCGGAGCGGCGGACGGGUGGGUAAUGCAUAGGAAUCUGCCUGGUCGUGAGGGAUAACGUCAGGAAAGGGGACCUAAGACCGCAUAAUAUCAGAUGAGCCUUGGUUGGAUUAGCUAGUUGGUGGGGUAAAGGCCUACCAAGGCGACGAUCCGUAACUGGUCUGAGAGGAUGAUCAGUCACACUGGAACUGAGACACGGUCCAGACUCCUACGGGAGGCAGCAGUGGGGAAUAUUGGACAAUGGGCGAAAGCCUGAUCCAGCCAUGCCGCGUGUGUGAAGAAGGUCUUCGGAUUGUAAAGCACUUUAAGUUGGGAGGCGUUACCAACAGAAUAAGCACCGGCUAACUUCGUGCCAGCAGCCGCGGUAAUAC